GUAGUUCAAUUAUAUAUAUAUUUCAUACAAGCGAAACCAUAAGUAAACUACAGUAUCCAGAGAUACCCGCAGCUGAAAGGGACUUUAAAGUAUAUUGUUUUAGCUGUCUUGCAAUGUUUACUUCCUUCGAGCGCGGUAUGUCAUCUUCGACACAGAGGCAGCGUUAGUGCCCUACGGUCAAUGUUUUCUCUUGCAUCAGCGUCUAUUCUGAACGGUACAGAUGCUACACCUUUUAAGUCGGUGAAGCAAAACCAGGGCUAGAUCGCUAAGCGGCCACACUGAACGGCGACUCUGGAGUGUCGAAGGGGAACGGCGUCCGCGAUGGCGAUGUUCCGCAGUUUUGUCUCGGCUGCCCAGCUCAGGCAACAUCAGCAGCAAGACGCUCAGCAGAGCGGGUCAGCGGCGGCCGCCUCUGCCGAGAGCAUCGAAGCCCAGUUCUCAUGCCCGAUAUGUUUGGAGGUUUACCACAAACCUGUCAGCAUCGCCGCCUGCGCUCACACGUUCUGUGGCGAGUGUCUACAGCCCUGCCUGCAGGUGGCCUCGCCUCUCUGCCCCUUAUGUCGCAUGCCCUUCGACCCAAAGAAGGUGGACAAGUGCUCCGCCGCGGAGAAGCAGCUCUCCUCCUAUAAAGCGCCAUGCCGAGGCUGCAAUAAAAAGGUCACCCUGGUGAAAAUGCGCUCUCACAUCUCGUCCUGCGCUAAAGUUCAGGAACAGAUGGCAAACUGUCCAAAGUUUGUGCCAGUCGUGCCCACUUCACAGCCUAUUCCCAGCAAUAUCCCAAACCGCUCCACUUUCGUGUGCCCGUACUGUGGAGCCCGCAACUUGGACCAGCAGGAGCUGGUGAAGCACUGCAUGGAGAAUCACCGCAAUGAUCCCAACAGAGUGUGGUGCUCCGUCCCUGUGCCAGGUUUGCCCAGUGUGUUCUGCCAUGCCCUGGGGUGACCCCAGCUACAAGAGUUCCAACUUCCUGCAGCACCUCCUGCAUCGACACAAGUUCUCCUAUGACACGUUUGUGGAUUACAGCAUUGAUGAAGAGGAGGCCCUGCAAGCUGCUCUUGCUCUCUCACUUUCAGAGAACUGAACCCCCUUCCUCCUUGUUCUGGUUGCAGUUGUUCCACACUCUGCUGCUCAGCCCCGCUGCAGCACCAACUCCUCCAUUUGCCCACUAGGGGGAGCAGCUAUCCAUCGCAAAAACGGGUCUGAAACAUAAACGCUGCAGUACAUGAAGAGGCGGGAUUUGGGUUCAGAUGACAAUACCCUUUAAGUGGUGGUAUUUGAUUUGGGAAAACCACAUCAUGCAGUUCAUGUUUGGUCGCUUUGUUUUCACUUCUUUGUGUUGAAGAAAGGACCAAAUUGCUGUUACAUCUCCUAUACAAACAGAGUAGUGUGUGUGAGUGUGGUGUGUACUGCGGUAAAGAGUACUGUUCAAAUUCAGCACAGAAUAAGGCAACAGACUCACCACUGACAUCAUGGUUAUGCAAUGACCAUCCCCAGUACAAACUCUACCUUUUUUUAUUAGGGUCCUUGAAUACUUCCAAACAUUCACGUUUUUCUACAUAAUUAAAUUGUUGUAUUAUUUUGAACUUAAACGGAAUAGAAAUGCAUUUAUUCUUCAUACUGCUGUUACCUGAUUAAAUUGCUACAAUAGUAUUUUUUUAUGAAGCAUAUAAAAAGUAUAUAUUUUUGAAAAACAAAAUUCAGUUUCACUUGCUGCACUUAACAUAAAAGUAAGUCACAUGUCUGACUGCUAGAGGUUUGUUGGUUCAUUUGCUUAUAUAUUUUUGGUGUCCAUUAACUUAGGGCCCUGUCCUUGGUAGGUGAGGAUGAUUGAGACUGUUUCAGACCUGAUUUGUAUAGUGUGUUCACGGGCAGCAGACAACUCGAGCAUCCUUAUUCUGUCUGUGAUAUUGUUCUGAGCUCCAGGGAUAUCACUGAGUGGGAUUAAUAACAUAAAGCUUUCUGCAUGUGUAAUACCUGGAUGUACAGAACUGUUACAAGCUUGUAUGCAAAUUUCUCUCUGUAGUUGGGCAGGAGGAGAGAUAUCUAUCUCUAUACACAGUACAAAUUUCAGGCCAUUACAUAGCAUUUUUAGAUAAGUCAUUUACAGUUGUGAUUUUUUUUUUAUAUAUCUGGUAAUACUUUUAAAGUUUGAUAAAUGUGCUGCUGUUUUGUGCUGGAAGAGAUGCUUCUUGGUAGAGCACUGUAGCUAUGCAGGCAAAACGAAUGAAGCAGGACCUCAGUUACACCACCGGUCAAGAGAUGACUCAACGCUUUUAUCACGCACAUGUGACCUGGUGUUCAGUCCUGCAAGGCACGUGCGUGUCUCUGAUCUUUGUUUUUGUGCCUCAGCGUUCUGCGUAUUAUUUUCCCUGUAGUUUUCAGUCCUACAGAUAAAGAAUGUGAGCAGUUGACAGUACAGCAAAUCCUUGUUGCAAUGGUAGUGGCCAGCAAAUACCUGCUAAUUCCUGCGAGCUCUCGACUUGCUAGUGAGAUUACCUGCUAACCAUCAUUGUAUGGCACUUAAGUUAAAUGACUUCAUAAUACUAUUUUAAGAAACAUUUUCUAGCUUUUGCACAUUUCAGCUUCCUUUAAACCAAUACAAAUGUGUGUUAAGUGGUUGUUCGGGUUAUAUUACUGUACAAGAAGAAGGGAUACAGGCCUGUGUUUAAUGAACUGUAGUUUAAGAGUGUUUUAUAAUGGGGAGGGUGUCCUUUCAAAGAUGCCAUUUGUAUUUGCAGAAGUUCCCCAACAUCUUAAAAGCACUAAAAAGAGUGCACAUGGUGUUGGAGUGAUUAACAAGUAUUGUCAGCAUGAUUUUAAAAAGUUGCAAGCCUAAAGCAUUAAGAUUAUAAAGAAAAUUACAUAUAUAAGCUAUUAAGCUUUUUUUAAAUUAUAAUUCAGUGUCUUUGGAUUACAAUGAGUAUAUCAAUGUUAACUGUCCCUGGGACCCUGACCGGAAUAACCGGUUGGAAAAUGGAUGAAUGGAUAUUUAAACUGUUACCAGUGGUGUUAUUACUUUUGCUAUUAGAGGCAAUAAGUAUUCGGACAGUGGUUAAAAUCUGGGCUAACAAAGGCUGUUAAUAGAUGUAAAACCUCCUCCUUCACCUUAGGCUCUAUAUUUGACUACUUCAGAUAAUCCCAUUUUGUAAAUAUUUCUAAGCUAUCUUUCUUUUUAAAGUGAAAAUGCUUGACAGAACCUUGCUGUAAAGCAGAGAUUUUUCUCUCUCCAGCGUUGUUGGUGUUGUGUUCCAUUCUUUUUUUACUUUUGAUCUUGGCAAAUAAUCCUAAGAUAUAUCACCAGCAAGGUGCAGGUGAGUGAAAUAUUUUUCAGAAAAAAUAAUCAAGGAGUAGUAGAAAGAGAGUACGAAACAUCCAUCCAUCAUGUUAUCUGUAUAUUCUGGUUAGAGUUGCAAGGUGGCCUUCAAAGAAAUGCAAAAUUAAAGACUACCUGGCCAGUAUGCUUCCUGUUUUGGUAUGUGGUUACCUGAUGAUGAAGACCUCGGUCUUCUAAAGCAGUGGAAGAAUGAAUGAAAGUCGCCGCAUAUCCACGGCAGCACUCUGCCCUGAAUCCUCUGCAUCGCACUGCCAUCGCCCACCUUGCUCCGUGCGGCUGGAACCUCACCAUCAAAGCCUCCUUUGAUGACGAUGGACCACGGUAGACAUAGCAAGUCAGGAAGACUCCUUUUGACACACACAUGAGCGGAAAGAUAUUUCCCAUACACUGGCUGCAAUUCAUGCAUUUACACAUAACUAAUGAUGAUGGUCAUGUGCAUUUAGAAGUUAUAAUAUUUCAGUUUAAUAAGAACUUUACUCUGUAUUUGUAGCAAUUUCCUUAAUAAACACUGAUCUUCACUG